ACCACUUCGGUGGGGAUUAGUGGCGAACGGGUGAGUAACACGUGGGCAAUCUGCCCUUCACUCUGGGACAAGCCCUGGAAACGGGGUCUAAUACCGGAUACGAGCCUCCAAGGCAUCUUGGGGGUUGGAAAGCUCCGGCGGUGAAGGAUGAGCCCGCGGCCUAUCAGCUUGUUGGUGAGGUAGUGGCUCACCAAGGCGACGACGGGUAGCCGGCCUGAGAGGGCGACCGGCCACACUGGGACUGAGACACGGCCCAGACUCCUACGGGAGGCAGCAGUGGGGAAUAUUGCACAAUGGGCGAAAGCCUGAUGCAGCGACGCCGCGUGAGGGAUGACGGCCUUCGGGUUGUAAACCUCUUUCAGCAGGGAAGAAGCGAAAGUGACGGUACCUGCAGAAGAAGCGCCGGCUAACUACGUGCCAGCAGCCGCGGUAAUACGUAGGGCGCAAGCGUUGUCCGGAAUUAUUGGGCGUAAAGAGCUCGUAGGCGGCUUGUCACGUCGAUUGUGAAAGCCCGAGGCUUAACCUCGGGUCUGCAGUCGAUACGGGCUAGCUAGAGUGUGGUAGGGGAGAUCGGAAUUCCUGGUGUAGCGGUGAAAUGCGCAGAUAUCAGGAGGAACACCGGUGGCGAAGGCGGAUCUCUGGGCCAUUACUGACGCUGAGGAGCGAAAGCGUGGGGAGCGAACAGGAUUAGAUACCCUGGUAGUCCACGCCGUAAACGGUGGGAACUAGGUGUUGGCGACAUUCCACGUCGUCGGUGCCGCAGCUAACGCAUUAAGUUCCCCGCCUG
rnacentral:rRNA from 2 species